rnacentral:lncRNA from 1 species
UUUUUUUUGGUUUUUCUUAAGGUUAUUCAAACACACAAGAAGAAAGCGAGAAAAAGAAAAUAAACUAGCAUGGAUAUUACAAUGAAAAAGUAUGUGCACCGACAACUGGCAUGAGUGUGUGAACAUGAAUGUAAUGUCGGUGAGAAAUAUGUACUCCCCCAAGCUUAGGCUUUUGGCCUAAGUUGGUCUAUGGCCACGGCUGGCCUGGCGGAUAUCCAAAGUUGUAGUUGGGGUCGUACUGUGAUGCAGCAACUAUUGCCUCGUGAGCUGCCGCUUGGAGGCGAGCUGUCUCCGUCCUCCUCUUAUACUCGUUCGCCUCCUCCCUGGUUAUAAUAAAUCUCCCUUUUGUCUGAAAGUCAAAGAGCAGGGAGAGCACAUGGAAAAUGCGGCGCCUGUCAAACAUUAGUUGGUACUGGAGAGGUUGUUCGUUCCUCUCAAUAAACUGAUGGCGAGCCAUAGCCUCAUAUCCUGAUAAGUGGGAGGCAAUUCCAUAUCACUUUCAUGUAUGGGUAUCCCAAGAAAAUUAGCCACACGAGUUGCAUAAAUUCCACCAAACAAGUCUCCACUUAAACCAUUAUUAUGCAACCUCCGUGCAACAAUGGCCCCCAAGUUAUAUUGUUUAUCUCCUAAAACAACACUCUUGAGAACGCUAAGAUCAGGGACACACAUGUGAUAUGCUUCAUCCUUACCAUUUAUGCACCUACCUAUGAAGAGAGAGAAAUAAUGUAUAGCAGGAAAAUGAAUGCUCCCUAUGGUAGCUUGUGUUAUAUCUCUAGAUUCCCCCACUCUAAUACUAGUAAGAAAAUCUCUAAACUCAGAUUUGCGAGGUUCACUAGCACUACCCCAUUGUGGAAGUUUGCAAGCAGUAUUAAAAUCCUCUUUGUCCAUAGUAUAAGAUUGGCCAUAGAUAUCAAAUAGGACAGUGUGAGAAUUACGUGAAGAUGAAAAUUUGAACCUUCUCACAAAGGAAUCAGUUAGGUGAUAGUACUGAGGGCACUUAUCUAGCAUGAAGCCCUCGAGUUCAGCAUUACGCACAUAUGCGUCAAAUUCCUCCUUAAUUCCUGCUCGAACCAUGAAAUCGUCUGACGACCAUUCACAAGGCCGCACUUGAGCUUCUCUUGGUAGUUCAUGGUCCGGCUCACACAUUGCGGGCCUGGGUCCUUGCUUCCUUGAAGAACCACCUUGAUACAAUUUCCUAGUCAUAUUUCUUCCUCUGAAAAAUUUCUGAAAAUUUUAGUAACUCAAAAUAAAAGUGAACCAAACUCAACAAAAUUGAUAGCAACUAAUUCCGCAAGUGCCUAGAGACUAUAUCAUGCAUUAGAACUACUUGGGACCAUAUAAAUUUGACAUGCAAGCUCAAGAACAAGGUCACCUAAGCAGCAAAAAAUUGCAAUGAAUAAAGCACUGGAACAAAAACUAAUUGGACCAUUGGAGGAGUCACAUACCGAAGAACAAUCCCCCAAAGCAGUUUUGUGAGUGGAGCUUUGAGCAAGGAGAUAGAAAAUCGCAGCAAGAUGAGCUAGAACUCGUGCUUGAGCUGGUUGGUGAUUUUUUGGGAGGAAGGAGUGUGUGGUGGCUGGAAUAAGUGGAGGGGGGGCACAAGGGGCGCACGAGGUAGGGGGCGCGCCCAGGGGGGUGGGCGCGCCCUGGACCCUCGUGGCCAGGUGCUUGCUCCCCCUAAUGUGUUUUCAGUGCCAGAUAUUCUCAAAUAUUCCAGAAAAAAUCAUAUUUCAUUUUCGGGGCAUUUUGAGAACUUUUAUUUUUGGGGUAUUUUUUAUUGCACGGAUAAUUCAGAAAACAUACAGAAAAUACUAUUUUUGAUUUAUUUAAUCUAAAUAACAGAAAGUAAAAGGAGGGUACAGAAGGUUGUGCUUUCUAACUUCAUCCAUCUCAUGCUCAUCAAAAGGAAUCCACUAAAAGGUUGAUCAAGUCUUGUUAACAAACUCAUUCCGAAUCGCAUGAAACCGGAGAAUUUUCGAAUAGCACUAUGUUACCUCAACGGGAAUAUGCACAUCCCCAAUAAUAAGAAUAUCAUAUUUCUUCUUGGCAGUAGGAAGAGGAAAUUCAAAACCUCCAAUAAUAAUUGAUGGAAUUUUCCUAAUAGAGUUUAUACUAUGAACUUGAGGUUGUUUCCUCGGAAAGUGUACCGUAUGCUCAUUACCAUUAACAUGAAAAGUGACAUUGCCUUUGUUGCAAUCAAUAACAGCCCCUGCAGUAUUCAAAAAGGGUCUUCCAAGAAUAAUAGACAUACUAUCGCCCUCGGGAAUAUCAAGAAUAACAAAGUCCGUUAAAAUAGUAAUGUUUGCAACUACAACAGGCACAUCCUCACAAAUACCGACAGGUAUAGCAGUUGAUUUAUCGGCCAUUUGCAAAGAUAUUUCAGUAGGUGUCAACUUAUUCAAAUCAAGUCUACGAUAUAAAGAGAGAGGCAUAACACUAACACCGGCUCCAAGAUCACAUAAAACAGUUCUAACAUAGUUUGUUUUAAUGGAGCAUGGUAUAGUUGGUACUCCUGGAUCUCCAAGUUUCUUUGGUAUUCCACCCUUAAAAGUAUAAUUAGCAAGCAUGGUGGAAAUUUCAGCUUCCGGUAUAUUUCUCUUAUUUGUAACAAUUUCUUUCAUAUACUUAGCAUAAGGAUUCUUUAAGCAUAUCAGUAAAACGCAUACGCAAGAAGAUAGGUCUAAUCAUUUCAGCAAAGCGCUCAAAAUCCUCAUCAUCCUUUUUCUUGGAUGGUUUAGGAGGAAAAGGCAUGGAUUUCUGAAACCAUGGUUCUCUUUCUUUACCGUGCUUCCUAGCAACAAAGUCUCUUUUAUCAUAACGUUGAUUCUUUGAUUGUGGGUUAUCAAGAUCAACAGCAGGUUCAAUUUCUACAUCAUUAUUAUUGCUAGGUUGAGCAUCAACAUGAACAUCAUCAUUAACAUUAUCACUAGGUUCAUGUUCAUCACCAGAUUGUGUUUCAGCAUCAGAGAUAGAAAUAUCAUUGGGAUUCUCAGGUGUGUCAACAACAGGUUCACUAGAAGCAUGCAAAGUCCUAUCAUUUUUCUUUUUCUUCUUUUUAGAAGGACUAGGUGCAUCGACAUUAGUUCUCUGAGAAUCUUGCUCAAUUCUCUUAGGGUGGCCCUCAGGAUACAAAGGUUCCUGAGUCAUUUUACCCCCUCUAGUCAUAACUCUAACAGCAUAAUCAUUCUUCUUAUUAUUUAAUUCAUUGAGCAAAUCAUUUUGAGCUUUGAGCACUUGUUCUACUUGAGUGGUAACCAUAGAAGCAUGUUUACUAAUGAGUUUAAGUUCACCUUUAACUCUAGACAUAUAAUCACUCAAGUGUUCAAGCGUAUCAGCAUUGUGUUUCAGUUGUCUACCAACAUGAGCAUUGAAGUUUUCUUGUUUGACAAUAAAAUUAUCAAACUCAUCUAAGCAUUGGCUAGCAGACUUAUAACGAGGAAUAUCACCUUCAUCAAAUCUAUAGAGAGAAUUUACCUUUACUACCUGUGUCGGGUUAUCAAGACCAUGUAUUUCUUCAACAGGCGGCAAAUUAAGACCAUGUAUUUCUUCAAUAGGAGGUAAAUUCUUAACAUCUUCAGCUUUAAUACCUUUUUCUUUCAUAGAUUUCUUUGCCUCUUGCAUAUCUUCGGGACUGAAAAAUAGAAUACCCCUUUUCUUUGGAGUUGGCUCAGUAGUUGGUUCAAGAAGUGUCCAAUUAUGUUCAUUAGUCAACAUAUUAUUCAAUAGCAAUUUAGCUUGAUCAACCGUUCUUUCCCUGAAAACACAACCAGCACAACUAUCCAGGUGGUCUCUGGAAGCAUCGGUUAGUCCAUUAUAAAAGAUAUCAAGUAUUUCAUUUUUCUUGAGAGGAUGAUCAGGCAAAGCAUUAAGUAAUUGGAGAAGCCUCCCCCCAAGCUUGUGGGAGACUCUCUUCUUCAAUUUUCACAAAAUUAUAUAUUUCCCUUAAAGCAGCUUGUUUCUUAUGAGCAGGGAAAUAUUUAGCAGAGAAGUAAUAAAUCAUAUCCUAGGGACUACGCACACAACCAGGAUCAAGAGAAUUAAACCAUGUUUUAGCAUCACCCUUUAAUGAGAACGGAAAUAACUUAAGGAUAUAGUAGUAGCGAGUUUUCUCAUCGUUAGUGAACAGGGUGGCUAUAUCAUUUAUUUAGUAAGAUGUGCCACAACAGUUUCAGAUUCAUAGCCAUAGAAAGGAUCAGAUUCAACCAAAGUAAUUAUCUCAGUAUCAACAGAGAAAUCACAAUCCUGAUCAGUAAUAAAGAUAGGUGAAGUAGCAAAAGCAGGGUCAUAUUUCAUUCUAGCAUUCAGAGAUUUUUCUUUCAGCUUAGCUAAUAAUUUCUUAAGGUCACUCCUAUCAUUGCAAGCAAGAAAGUCUCUAGCAGUUUCUUCAUCCAUAACAUAACCCUCAGGCACAACAGGUAAUUCAUAUUUAGGAGGAGAAUCUUCAUCAUCACUUUCAUCAAUAUUACCAGUUUCAAAAUUUCAUUCUCUCUAGCCCUAGCAAGUUGUUCAUCCAGAAAUUCACCUAGUGGCACAGUAGUAUCAAGCAUAGAAGUAGUUUCAUCAUAAGUAUCAUGCAUAGCAGAAGUGGCAUCAUCAAUAACAUGCGACAUAUCAGAAUUAAUAACAGAAGCAGGUUUAGGUGUCGCAAGUUUACUCAAAACAGAAGGUGAAUCAAGUGCGGAGCUAGAUGGCAGUUCCUUACCUCCCCUUGUAGUUGAGGGAAAAAUCUUAGUUCUUUCGUCUUUCAAGUGUUGGAAAUAUGCCCUAGAGGCAAUAAUAAAAUGGUUAUUAUUGUAUUUCCUUGUUCAUGAUAAUUGUCUGUUUUUCAUGCUAUAAUUGUAUUAACUGGAAACCGUAAUACAUGUGUGAAUACAUAGACCACAACAUGUCCCUAGUAAGCCUCUAGUUGACUAGCUCGUUGAUCAAUAAAUGGUUAUGGUUUCCUGACCAUGGACAUUGGAUGUCAUUGAUAACGGGAUCACAUCAUUAGGAGAAUGAUGUGAUGGACAAGACCCAAUCCUAAGCAUAGCACAAGAUCGUGUAGUUCGUUUGCUACAGCUUUUCUAAUGUCAAGUAUCUUUUCCUUAGACCAUGAGAUUGUGCAACUCCCGGAUACCGUAGGAAUGCUUUGGGUGUACCAAACGUCACAACGUAUCUGGGUGGCUAUAAAGGUGCACUACAGGUAUCUCCGAAAGUGUCUGUUGGGUUGGCACGAAUCGAGACUGGGAUUUGUCACUCCGUAUGACGGAGAGGUAUCUCUGGGCCCACUCGGUAAUGCAUCAUCAUAAUGAGCUCAAUGUGACUAAGGAGUUAGCCACGGGAUCAUGCGUUACGGUACGAGUAAAGUGACUUGCCGGUAACGAGAUUGAACAAGGUAUUGGGAUACCGACGAUCGAAUCUCGGGCAAGUAACGUACCGAUUGACAAAGGGAAUUGUAUACGGGAUUGAUUGAAUCCUCGACAUCGUGGUUCAUCCGAUGAGAUAAUCGUGGAACACGUGGGAGCUAACAUGGGUAUCCAGAUCCCGCUGUUGGUUAUUGACCGGAGAGUCGUCUCGGUCAUGUCUGCAUCUCUCCCGAACCCGUAGGGUCUACACACUUAAGGUUCGGUGACGCUAGAGUUGUAGAUCUCUACUACUAUAGUACACGAUUUUUUGAAUAUUUGAAUCUGCCAUCUUCUCUCAAGUUUUACCGGCCACAUCUAGGAUGGAAUCAUCUGUGGCCGUCAACUUAUUAAAUCGAACGGCCUGUAUCACCCGGAUUCGUCACCCACACAAUCCCGCCAAACCUGAAAAGGAGCCGCCCUUCUAGAGAAUUCCACAACCCACGGUAGCCUCCAGGCUCUGGCAAAUCGAUUCCCCGCCAACCUCCUCAUGCUGAUCUUUCCCCCGAUGCUCCGUAUCCAGUAUUCCAAUUUCUCUAGCCCGCGGGUCACACACCUCCAGCUCCAUUGGUCCACCCCCCGUCCACACACCCAGCACGGCAGCACCUCCGAAUCACCUCCACGUCCAGAGUGCAUUUCCAGCCCCGUCUCCUUGCAGUCUCUGGCUUGCUUCGAAAUUUUUUUGCGCCUGGUGAUUCCAGGCUCAGAGGAGUUGGACAUCCAUCUACGGCCAGGUGACCACAGGUGAGGUUGCUGAUUCUUCUGCUCCUUUGGGAAUUUUGCUGCGUGAGAAUGUUCUGCAAGUGAUUCUUCCUGCUUACAAUAAUAUGGAAUACAAAUCCACUGGUAUGACGGAGAGGUAUCUCUGGGCCCACUCGGUAAUGUAUCAUCAUAAUGAGCUCAAUGUGACUAAGGAGUUAGCCACGGGAUCAUGCGUUACGGUACGAGUAAAGUGGCUUGCCGGUAACGAGAUUGAACAAGGUAUUGGGAUACCGACGAUCGAAUCUCGGGCAAGUAACGUACCGAUUGACAAAGGGAAUUGUAUACGGGAUUGAUUGAAUCCUCGACAUCGUGGUUCAUCCGAUGAGAUCAUCGUGGAACAUGUGGGAGCUAACAUGGGUAUCUAGAUCCCGCUGUUGGUUAUUGACCGGAGAGUCGUCUCGGUCAUGUCUGCAUGUCUCCCGAACCCGUAGGGUCUACACACUUAAGGUUCGGUGACGCUAGAGUUGUAGAGAUAUUAGUAUGCGGUUAACCGAAAGUUGUUCGGAGUCCCGGAUGAGAUCCCGGACGUCACGAGGAGUUCCGGAAUGGUCCGGAGGUAAAGAUUUAUAUAUGGGAAGUCCUAUUUUGGCCACCGGAAAAUGUUCGGGAUUUUUCGGUAUUGUACCGAGAAGGUUCUAGAAGGUUCCAAAGUGGGGCCCACCUGCAUGGGGGGACCCACAUGAACGUGGGUAGUGGGGGCAAGGCCCCACACCCCUGGUCAAGGCGCACCAAGAUCCCACUUUAGAAGGAAUAAGAUCAUAUCCCGAAGGGAUAAGAUCAAGAUCCCUAAAAAAGGGGAUAACAAUCGGUGGGGAAGGGAAAUGAUGGGAUUUCUUUCCCCCACCUUUGCCAACGCCCCAAUGGACUUGGAGGGCAAGAAACCAGCCCCCUCCACCCCUAUAUAUAGUGGGGAGGCGCAUGGGAGCAGCACCCCAAGCCCUGGCACCUCCCUCCCUCCCGUGACACCUCUUCCUCCCCGCUUGCGCUUGGCGAAGCCCUGCCGGGAUCCCGCUACUUCCACCACCACGCCGUCGUGCUGCUGGAUCUCCAUCAACUUCUCCUCCCCCCUUGCUGGAUCAAGAAGGAGGAGACGUCCCCGCUCCGUACGUGUGUUGAACGCGGAGGUGCCGUCCGUUCGGCGCUAGGAUCAUCGGUGAUUUGGAUCACGACGAGUACGACUCCAUCAACCCCGUUCUCUUGAACGCUUCCGCUCGCGAUCUACAAGGGUAUGUAGAUACACUCCUCCCCUCUCGUUGCUAGCAUUUCCUAGAUUGAUCUUGGAGACACGUAGGAAAACUUUGAAUUUCUGCUACGUUCCCCAACAGUGGCAUCAUGAGCCAGGUCUAUGCGUAGAUUCUAUGCACGAGUAGAAGACAAAUUAGUUGUGGGCGAUGAUUUGCUCAAUUUGCUUACCGUUACUAGUCUUAUCAUGAUUCGGCGGCAUUGUGGGAUGAAGUGGCCUGGACCGACCUUACACGUACUCUUACGUGAGACAGGUUCCACCGAUUGACAUGCACUUGAUGCAUAAGGUGGCUAGCGGGUGUCUGUCUCUCCCACUUUAGUCGGAUCGGAUUCGAUGAAGAGGGUCCUUAUGAAGGGUAAAUAGCAAUUGGCAUAUCACCGUUGUGGCUUUUGCGUAGGUAAGAAACGUUCUUGCUAGAAACCCAUAGUAGCCACGUAAAACAUGCAACAACAAUUAGAGGACGUCUAACUUGUUUUUGCAGGGUAUGCUAUGUGAUGUGAUAUGGCCAAAAGGGUGUGAUGAAUUAUAUAUGUGAUGUAUGAGAUUGAUCAUGUUCUUGUAAUAGGAAUCACGACUUGCAUGUCGAUGAGUAUGACAACCGGCAGGAGCCAUAGGAGUUGUCUUAAUUUAUUGUAUGACCUGCGUGUCAAUGAAAAACGACAUGUAAUUACUUUACUUUAUUGCUAACCGUUAGCCAUAGUAGUAGAAGUAAUAGUUGGCGAGACAACUUCAUGAAGACACGAUGAUGGAGAUCAUGAUGAUGGAGAUCAUGAUGAUGGAGAUCAUGGUGUCAUGCCGGUGACGAAGGUGAUCAUGCCGCGCCUCGAAGAUGGAGAUCAAAAGGCGCAAGAUGAUAUUGGCCAUAUCAUGUCACUUUAUGAUUUGCAUGUGAUGUUUGUCAUGUUUACAUCUUAUUUGCUUACAACGACGGUAGCAUAAAUAAGAUGAUCCCUCACUAAAAUUUCAAGAGAUGUGUUCCCCCUAACUGUGCACCAUUGUGAAGGUUCGUUGUUUCGAAGCACCACGUGAUGAUCGGGUGUGAUAGAUUCCAACCUUCGCACACAACGGGUGUUGACGAGCCUAGCAUGUACAGACAUGGCCUCGGAACACAAGCAAAACACUUAGGUUGACUUGACGAGCCUAGCAUGUACAGACAUGGCCUCGGAACACAAGAGACCGAAAGGUCGAACAUGAGUCGUAUAGUAGAUACGAUCAACAUGGAGAUGUUCACCGAUGAUGACUAGUCCGUCUCACGUGAUGAUCGGACACGGCCUAGUCGAUUCAGAUCAUGUAUCACUUAGAUGACUAGAGGGAUGUCUAUCUAAGUGGGAGUUCAUUAAAUAAUCAGAUGAACUUAAUUAUCAUGAACAUAGUCAAAAGGUCUUUGCAAAUAAUGUCGUAGCUUACGCUUUAGUUCUACUAAGAUAUGUUCCUAGAGAAAAUUUAGUUGAAAGUUGAUAGUAGCAAUUAUGCGGACUGGGUCCGUAAACUGAGGAUUGUCCUCAUUGCUGCACAGAAGGCUUAUGUCCUUAAUGCACCGCUCAGUGUGCUGAACCUCGAGCGUCGUCUGUAGAUGUUGCGAAACGUCUGACAUACACGUUUUGAUGACUACGUGAUAGUUCAGUGUGUGAUGCUAACGGUUUAAAAUUGUGGCACCAAAGACGGUUUUGAAACGUCGCAGAACAUAUGAGAUGUUCCAAAGACUGAAAUUGGGAUUUCAGACUAGUGCCCACGUCAAGAGGUAUGAGACCUCUGACAAGUUUCUUAAGCCUGCAAACUACGGGAGAAAAGCUCAAUCGUUGAGCAUGUGCUCAGAUUGUCUGAGUACUACAAUCACUUGAAUCGAGUGGGAGUUAAUCUUCCAGAUGAGAUAGUGAUGGUUCUCCAUAGUCACUGCCACCAAGCUAUUAGAGCUUCGUGAUGAACUAUAACAUAUCAGGGAUAGACAUGAUGAUCCUUGAGCAACUCGCGAUGUCUGACACCGCGAAAGUAGAAAUCAAGUAGGAGCAUCAAUUGUUGAUGGUUAGUAAAACCACUAGUUUCUAGAAGGGCAAGGGCAAGAAGGGAUACUUCAUGAAACGGCAAAUCAGUUGCUGCUCUAGUGAAGAAACCCAAGGUUGAACCCAAACCCGAGACUAAGUGCUUCUGAAAUGAGGGGAACGGUCACUGAAGCAGAACUACCCUAGAUACUUCGUAGAUGAGAAGGCUGGCAAGGUCGACAGAAGUAUAUUGGAUAUACAUUAUAUUAAUGUGUACUUUACUAGUACUCCUAGUAGCACCAGGGUAUUAGAUACCGGUUCGGUCGCUAAGUGUUAGUAACUCGAAAUAAAAGCUGUGGAAUAAACGGAGACUAGCUAAAGGUGAGAUGACGAUAUGUGUUGGAAGUGUUUCCAAGGUUGAUGUGAUCAAGCAUCUGUAGCGACCAGACCUCAAAUAGUCUGUGCUGCUGUGCACCAGUGUCAUCCCUGGAUCAGUAAUGCUGACACGCACAGUACAAAUGGAGGAUUUAUAACAGAGUAGCAAUCACACACUUAUUACAACGAAUAUCUCAAAAGAGAAUAAGUAUGAUAAAUAUGGCUUAAGGCCAUCUAAAUACGAUAACAGCGAAAGACUUGGAAGAUAAGUGAGUCCAUCAACUCCAACGUCAUCAUUGAGUAUAAGACCACGACCUAAGGCACCUUACUCGUCGUCUGAAAAGUCUGCAACAUGAAACGUUGCAGCCCGAAAACGGGUCAGCACAUGGAAUAUGCUGGCAAUGUAACACAUAGAGAAUAAUGAACAUAAUAAUGUUAUACUACAUGCAUAUAUGGCUGGUGGAAAGCUCUAUGGUUACAGUUUUGCGAAAAGCCAAUUUUUCCCUACUGCAAAGGAAUAAAAAAAAUUUAAAUAUCAUGGUGGUUGUGAAACAUUGAGAUGGUUGACAGCAUCUCAAUCCCAAUUAAGUAUCAUCAUUAACCCAACAAUAUUAAUUAAAGUAACAUGGUGAUGAGAUUCACAUGAUAAUCCAGGUACUAGAUACUCAAGUUGUCCAUAACCGGGGACACGGCUAACCAUGAUUAGUUUGUACACUCUGCAGAGGUUUGUGCACUUUUCCCCACAAGACUCGAUCGCCUCCGCUUGAUUCUCGCACUACAUGAUGUUUGAGAAACGGAUGACCGAGACACAGUCUUUCAGAAACAAUCACCCUUUACUCCGGAUGGACAGUUACACCUACUUUCCCCUACAUCUGCUAGCCCACCUCUUCAAGAGAUCAUGUAACCUACUCAACUAUGCUAGAGCCCAUAAUAGCUUAUGGCUGCACACGGAAGUUUCUAGCAUGAAUAAUCUUAUGAUCCCUUUGAGCCUGGGUGGCGGUCCUUAUAAAAACAGACAACACUGGGUUCUCCAGGUGCCUCAAUCCACCCAGAUGUGAGUUUUAGUUGCCACCUUAAGUAAACCAUUAUUAACAAUCUCACAUUUGUCGUGAAUAUCUCUCAAACCCAAUCCACGUCUACGAGCAUAGCAUGGCAAUAUAAGCAAACGUAGAAGUAACUCCCAAGGGUUUGAUAAAUAAAACAGGUAAUAGGUACUACCUCAACUACUUCCCAAUACCCACAGUUUAAUUAGAUCCUAACCAUGCAAUGUUUGAGGAUUGAUCUAAUGCAAUAAAAACUGGGUAUGGAAAAGUAUGAUCAAAGUGUUACUUGCCUUGCUGAUGAUCCGCGUAACCUAGAGAUUCAAAGUAACAAGCGGCGCACUCCGGGUACUCUAUCGCAAACAAACAAGCAAACAAUAAGUACUCAUCUAAUGCACAGGUAAAACUCGAAUAAAAGAUCCAACCAGAAAGUUCAACUUAAGAACUCCGGUUUGCAAAAAGAAUCAAAUCGAACGAAGCAACGAAAAUCAAAUGGCGAAAGAAACAAGCUUCGUUUACUAUUCUGGAUCUAGGUCAAAUGUUACAGUAGCAAAAACUUGUUCGAGUAGGUUAAAUGGAAAGAGAAUUUCGAGAUGAAACUCUAGGCGCUUGAAUCGCCUGAUUAUGAUAAACGAGCGAAAAGUUAAACAAAAACGAAGAUCCGAUCAGAAAUCGAGAUCUGGAAUAAUCGCGGAAAAAUCUGACGAAAAAGAAAACUGACGAACGGUUAAAGAACGGACGUUCGUUAACAGCGAAAAUCCGACGAACACGUUCGUUAAAACGAACGGGUCGGUGAACGUUCACUAAAAUAAUAAAACCGAAAAAAAUAAACCGAUCUAGGGUUUAGAAAAAAACGAACGGUUUUUUUAGAAAACCGGCAACGGCGUCGGAUCGGUACCUCGUCGGGACGGGGCUCCGGUGGGGUCGGCGGGGUUCGGCGAGGGCGGCUUGGGGCGGCGGGGGCUCGGGCGGCGAGNNNNNNNNNNNNNNNNNNNNNNNNNNNNNNNNNNNNNNNNNNNNNNNNNNNNNNNNNNNNNNNNNNNNNNNNNNNNNNNNNNNNNNNNNNNNNNNNNNNNNNNNNNNNNNNNNNNNNNNNNNNNNNNNNNNNNNNNNNNNNNNNNNNNNNNNNNNNNNNNNNNNNNNNNNNNNNNNNNNNNNNNNNNNNNNNNNNNNNNNNNNNNNNNNNNNNNNNNNNNNNNNNNNNNNNNNNNNNNNNNNNNNNNNNNNNNNNNNNNNNNNNNNNNNNNNNNNNNNNNNNNNNNNNNNNNNNNNNNNNNNNNNNNNNNNNNNNNNNNNNNNNNNNNNNNNNNNNNNNNNNNNNNNNNNNNNNNNNNNNNNNNNNNNNNNNNNNNNNNNNNNNNNNNNNNNNNNNNNNNNNNNNNNNNNNNNNNNNNNNNNNNNNNNNNNNNNNNNNNNNNNNNNNNNNNNNNNNNNNNNNNNNNNNNNNNNNNNNNNNNNNNNNNNNNNNNNNNNNNNNNNNNNNNNNNNNNNNNNNNNNNNNNNNNNNNNNNNNNNNNNNNNNNNNNNNNNNNNNNNNNNNNNNNNNNNNNNNNNNNNGACGGCGGGGCUGGGCCGGCCUGCUCGGCUGGGCCUCGGCCCGAUCGGGCGCGAUGUUUUUUUUUAAAUAUAUUCCGCCGAAUCUAAAAAAAAUCACAGAAAAAUAAAUAAAAAUCCAAAAAUGAUAAAACAAAUUUUUCCCGUCUAUUUAAAAUAAUUAAGACAAGGUGAACAUUUUUUUGACACAAAAAUGCAGUUUUGAAAACGUGCAAUUUUUUUAAUGCAAUUAAAAUUGCAAAUAAAAUCCGAAUAAAAUCCAAUAUAUGAUUUUAAUAUUUUUCCUCCAAUAUUUCAAUUGUUUUGGAGAAGUCAUAUUUUCUCCUCUCAUUUAUUUUAAUAUGAAAUAUUUUUCUGGAGAGAAAAUAAUUAAAACCAAAAUCCUCGUUUUAUUAUCUGAUGAAAAUCAAAUAUGAUAAAUCGGGAAAAUCCCCAACUCUCUCCGAGGGUCCUUGAGUUGCUUAGGAUUUAUUCGAGGAUUUGCCAAAAUGCAAUAAAAUAUGCUAUGCAAUGAUGAUCUAUGUAUAACAUUCCAAAUUGAAAAUUUGGGAUGUUACAAACCUACCCCCCUUAAGAUGAAUCUCGCCCUCGAGAUUCGGGUUGGCUAGAAAACAGGUGGGAGUAGUCCUUCCGUAGGUCUUCCUCUCGCUCCCAGGUGGCUUCAUCUUCCGUGUGGUGACUCCACUGGACUUUGCAAAACUUGAUAACCUUACUGCGGGUGACUCGGCUGGCAUACUCGAGAAUCUUAACUGGUUUCUCCUCAUAGGUAAAAUCACUUCCCAGCUGAAUCGCUUCCAGUGGCACUGUAUCUCUCAGUGGUAUCUCAGCCAUCUCUGCGUGGCACUUCUUCAACUGUGAAAUGUGAAAUACGUCGUGAACUCCUGACAAUCCUUCGGGCAAUUCCAGUUUGUAGGCAACUUCUCCCAUACAUUCCAAAACUCUAUAUGGUCCGAUAAAACGGGGCGCUAGCUUUCCCUUAACUCCAAAGCGCUUCACUCCUCGAAGUGGUGAUACCCGAAGAUAAACUCUGUCUCCGACUUCGUAAACUGUCUCCUUUCGUUUAGAAUCCGCAUAACUCUUCUGUCUGGACUGGGCUACCUUGAGCCUAUCGCGAAUCAACCUCACUUUCUGUUCAAACUCCUUAAUCAAAUCUGGUCCAAACAACUGACGGUCUCCUACUUCGUCCCAUAACAAUGGUGUUCUACACCUCCUUCCGUACAAAGCUUCGAAAGGGGCCAUCUUCAAACUGGUUUGAUAACUGUUGUUGUAAGAAAACUCUGCAUAUGGCAAAUUGUCGUCCCAACUAGAUCCAUAAUCUAGUGCACAAGCUCUCAGCAUGUCCUCCAAAAUCUGAUUGACUCUCUCGGUCUGUCCAUCUGUCUGUGGGUGAAAGGUUGUACUAAAUUCUAGCCUGGUUCCCAAUGUUUCAUGUAACUGCUUCCAAAACUUCGAGGUAAACUGGGUUCCUCUGUCUGAUACAAUGGUCCUCAGAACUCCAUGCAAACAUACGAUCCUGGUCAUGUAUAUCUUCGCCAACUUAGCACUGGUGUAAGUGGUCUUUACUGGAAUGAAAUGAGCUACUUUCGUCAAACGGUCGACUACAACCCAUAUUGAGUCAUAGCCUGAACGAGUCCUGGGCAAUCCCGUGAUAAAAUCCAUGCCUAUUUUAUCCCACUUCCAUUCGGGUAUCGGCAAUGGUUGUAGCAAUCCUGCUGGCUUCUGAUGCUCUGCCUUCACUCUCUGACAUACAUCCCAAACUGCUACAUACUCCGCAAUAUCCUUCUUCAUUCCAGUCCACCAGAAAGUAUCCUUCAAAUCCAAAUACAUCUUGGUAUUUCCUGGGUGAAUCGAAUACGGUGAAUCAUGGGCCUCUUGCAAAAUCAACUUCCUGAUCUCCGGAUCAUUUGGCACGUAUACGCGGUCCUCGAACCAUAAGGUAUCGUGCUCAUCCUCACGAAAUCCCUUGGCUUUUCCUUUGCUCAUCUUUUCCUUUAUCUCGUCAAUCUCCUUGUCUGUCUUCUGAGCUUCUCUGAUCUUUUCCAUCAAGGUAGACUGAAUCUCCAAUGUCGCUAAAUAGCCUCUUGGGACUAUCUCCAAACAUAGCUCGCGAAGGUCCUCGGCUAACUCCUGGGGUAACUCUCCUGUCAUGAGGGUGUUGACAUGGCUCUUGCGGCUCAACGCGUCUGCUACUACGUUAGCCUUCCCUGGGUGAUAAUGCAAUCUCAUAUCAUAGUCCUUAAUAAGCUCCAACCAUCUCCUCUGUCUGAGAUUUAACUCCUUCUGCGUGAAAAUAUACUUCAAACUCUUGUGAUCCGUGUACACCUCGCAAUGGUUUCCGAUGAGAAAAUGUCUUCAUGUCUUCAAUGCAUGCACCAUGGCUGCUAACUCCAAAUCAUGCGUAGCAUAAUUCUUCUCAUGGGGUUUAAGUUGUCGUGAAGCAUAUGACACAACUCUUCCUUCCUGCAUAAGCACUGCUCCAAGUCCUCGACGAGAAGCGUCGCAAUAAACUUCAUAAUCCUUGCGUUGAUCUGGCAGAAUCAACACUGGUGAUGUAACCAAUCGUUUCUUCAAUUCUUGGAAACUAGCUUCACAAUCCUCAGUCCAAUUGAAUUUGGUGUCCUUCUUCAAUAGCUCAGUCAUGGGCUUUGCAAUCUUUGAGAAAUUCUCAAUGAACCUCCGGUAGUAUCCUGCAAGUCCAAGGAAACUCCGGAUCUCUCCAACUGACGUGGGUGAUUCCCAACUUGUUACUGUGUCCACUUUGGCGGGGUCUAUUGCUAUUCCUUCUCCAGAAAUAACAUGUCCGAGGAAUCCAACUUCCUUCAGCCAAAAUUCACAUUUGCUGAACUUGGCAUCUAACUGAUGUUCUCUGAGCUUCUCAAGUACCAAUCGCAAAUGCUCCUCAUGCUCUUCCUCAUUCUUGGAAAAGACUAAAAUAUCGUCAAUGAACACCACAACGAACUUAUCCAAAAACUCCAUAAACACUUUGUUCAUCAGGUUCAUGAAAUAGGCAGGUGCGUUAGUCAGACCAAAUGACAUAACGGUAUACUCGUAUAGCCCAUACCUGGUGGUAAAAGCCGUCUUAGGUAUAUCCUGCUCUCGAAUCUUUAACUGAUGGUAUCCUGAUCGUAGAUCGAUCUUGGAAAAUACUUUAGCUCCUUGUAAGCGGUCAAACAAAUCAUUGAUCAUCGGCAGUGGGUACUUGUUUUUGAUGGUCACUUCAUUCAAUCCACGGUAAUCAACAACCAUCCUCAACGAUCCAUCUUUCUUCUCCACUAGAAGUACUGGUGAUCCCCAAGGUGACGAACUUGGGCGAAUAUAGCCUUUAUCCAAUAACUCCUUAAUCUGCUUCUUAAUUUCCUCCAAAUCUUUUGCGGGCAUCCUGUACGGUCUCUUAGAUAUUGGCCUUGUGCCUUGCAAAAGUUCAAUCAAGAACUCAAUGUCUCUAUCUGGUGGCAUGCCUGGCAACUCUUCUGGAAAUACAUCCGGAUAAUCCUUCACCACUGGUACUUCCUCCUGUACCACUCCUGAUAAGGAAUUCACUUGAGUCCUCUUCGGCACAUGCCAGGAUACAUACUUGAUCCUUCUUCCUUCUGGGGUGGUAAGCAAAAUCGACUUACUGGCGCAAUCGAUGUUUCCUCCAUACAUCGAUAGCCAAUCCAUUCCCAAAAUCACAUCCAAACCUUGCGACUCCAAAAUUAUUAGGUCUGAGGGGAAAACAUGCCUACCAAUGGCCAAUGGCAUCUGAAAACAUCCUUGGCUUGCCAUAUACUCUGCUCCUGCCGAGGUUACUAACAUAGGUGUUCUGAGAACUUUGGUGGGCAACUUAAACUUAUCCACAAAUCCCCUUGAUAUGUAUGAAUGUGAUGCACCAGUAUCGAAAAGAACGAUUGCAGUAAACGACUUAACCAAAAACUUACCUAUUACUGCAUCAGGCUGUGCUUCAACCUCUUCCACGCUCACGUGGUUCACAUGUCCUUUCUUGAACGGGUUCGGCUUCUUCCCAGAGCUUCCAUUGCCAUUACCAUUCUGGGCUUCAGGACAAUCAGUUGCAUAAUGUCCAGUCUUCUGGCACUUGAAACACGUAAUGUGACUUAGAUCCCUCUUGGCUGGGGUAGAUGGGUUGGUGCGGUUCUGUGCGUUGGUUCCUCCGUUCCCAUUACCAUUCUUGGAGCCAUUAUGAUUGUGCGAACUACCUCCUCCAUGGGUAUGCUGAAACUGUCCUGCCGGUUUCGGGGCAAAACGUGGCUUCUGCUGAGCUCCAGAAUUGUACUUCCCUUGUCCAUACUUCCUCUUACGGUUUUCAAUCUGCUGUUGUUUCCCUUCAAUCAUGAGAGCUCUAUCUACCAACUCCUGGUAGUUGUUGAAGGUUGCUACCAUCAACUGCAUACUCAGUUCAUCAUUAAGUCCUUCCAAAAACUUCUCCUGCUUGGCUGGAUCUGUAGCAACGUCAUCUGGUGCAUAACGUGCUAACUUAUUGAAAUCCUCCACAUACUGGCCUACGGUGCGUCCUCCUUGGCGUAGGUUGCGAAACUCACGCUUCUUCAUAGCCAUAGCUCCUGCUGAAACAUGAGCUGUACGGAAAGCUUGCUGAAACUGGUCCCAUGUGACAGUGUCAAUAGGGUGUGUGGCUGUGUAAUUCUCCCACCAUGAUGCUGCGGGUCCAUCAAGCUGAUGUGCGGCAAAACGCACUCUUUCCGCAUCUGUGCAUCCUGCAGUGGUCAACUCCCUUCCAACUUUGCGGAGCCAAUCAUCUGCAACAAUCGGCUCGGUGCUACUGGAAAACACUGGCGGGUUUAGCCUCAAGAAACGGGCUAAGUGAUCAACAGGUGGAGGUGGUGGGUUGUUGUUGUUGUUAUUGCCUUGGUUCUGUACUAACACUUGCAUCAGGGCAUUCUGUUGCUGAAUCAACUGGGUGAUCUCCGGUGGGAAAACAAAUCCGGUGUCGCGUCUCGGAGGCAUCUGAUGGGUUAGAAAAGAUGAGAGUUAAGAAUAGAAUGAGGUCUAGAGGGAAAACACUACCCAUAUGCUCAUGAGACAAAUACAAUCAAUAUCACUCAAUCAAUUCAAACAAGGCAUACAAUCAAUCUAACUAGCAUUACAAAGUUCUUGAACUAUACUAUUAAAUGGGGGAAAACUACUACUGAUAUGGUGGUCUACUAGAAAUUCUGAUCAGUUGAAGACUCCAUGAUAUCUGCUCCAGCUUCACCAACAAAGUCAUCUUCACUGGGGUCCGAGUCGGUGUCGUCGAUGAUGAUGUAGUUAUCCGGGCAAGCGCAUUCGUCAUCUUCUGCGUUUUGCACUGGAUUUCCCAUGAAUACUCCAAUCUUCUUCUCCAGGUCGUCAUUCUUCCCUACUAGUGCGACAAUUUCCUCCAAAUAAUCCUCGCGUGUAGCCUUGAGUUCUUCCUCCAGCUCCUUGAUCUUCGUCAAUGCCUUCUUCAGAUCUUCCUUGUCUGAGCAAAUCUGGUUCUCCUGGAGACGAAUGUGUUGGUUUUGCUCCUGGAUGAAAGCUGCAAUUGAUCCAUCCUUCUUGGUUCUGAUCAUCUCCCAUUGCUCGUCUCGGCGUCCACAAAUCUGAUAAAUUGUAUCCUUAAGCUCCCUAUGGUAGACUUCUCCAAUGCGUCCCAUAGCGAUGUGGGCGGCCAUGCUCUUCCCUAAACUCCAGGUUGGUGCUUCGAAAACCAAUCUUAUGGGUUCAGUAACUGGCACAAACGUCCUUCCUGGAACUUGAACUUGAAUCUUCUAGCUCUCCUCUUUGGGCAAUGUGGCGUUGUAGGUUUCGGUGAUGCUUGGUAUUCCUAUGUUCAAGUACUUAGUGAUUUCCUUCAAGUGUCGUCCAAAAGGUGUAUCUUCAUAUGGUUGCAUGAACUUGCUCCUUGCAUCCGCCAUUCCUAAAAGAGUAGAAAGUGGAGAGGGGUCAGAAAUGGGAAGAGAGAAGUGUUCUAGGGCUUAAGCUUAGUGGUCGUGUCCUACAGUCAGCGUGUGCUCUGAUACCACCUUUGUAGCGAUCAGACCUCAAAUAGUCUGUGCUGCUGUGCACCAGUGUCAUCCCUGGAUCAGUAAUGCUGACACGCACAGUACAAAUGGAGGAUUUAUAACAGAGUAGCAAUCACACACUUAUUACAACGAAUAUCUCAAAAGAGAAUAAGUAUGAUAAAUAUGGCUUAAGGCCAUCUAAAUACGAUAACAACGGAAGACUUGGAAGAUAAGUGAGUCCAUCAACUCCAACGGCAUCACUGAGUAUAAGACCACGACCUAAGGCACCUUACUCGUCGUCUGAAAAGUCUGCAACAUGAAACGUUGCAGCCCGAAAACAGGUCAGCACAUGGAAUAUGCUGGCAAUGUAACACAUAGAGAAUAAUGAACAUAAUAAUGCUAUACUACAUGCAUAUAUGGCUGGUGGAAAGCUCUAUGGUUAUAGUUUUGCGAAAAGCCAAUUUUUCCCUACUGCAAAGGAAUAAAUUUUUUUUAACUAUCAUGGUGGUUGUGAAACAUUGAGAUGGUUGACAGCAUCUCAAUCCCAAUUAAGUAUCAUCAUUAACCCAACAAUAUUAAUUAAAGUAACAUGGUGAUGAGAUUCACAUGAUAAUCCAGGUACUAGAUACUCAAGUUGUCCAUAACCGGGGACACGGCUAACCAUGAUUAGUUUGUACACUCUGCAGAGGUUUGUGCACUUUUCCCCACAAGACUCGAUCGCCUCUGCUUGAUUCUCGCACUACAUGAUGUUUGAGAAACGGAUGACCGAGACACAGUCUUUCAGAAACAAUCACCCUUUACUCCGGAUGGACAGUUACACCUACUUUCCCCUACAUCUGCUAGCCCACCUCUUCAAGAGAUCAUGUAACCUACUCAACUAUGCUAGAGCCCAUAAUAGCUUGUGGCUGCACAUAGAAGUUUCUAGCAUGAAUAAUCUUAUGAUCCCUUUGAGCCUGGGUGGCGGUCCUUAUAAAAACAGACAACACUGGGUUCUCCAGGUGCCCCAAUCCACCCAGAUGUGAGCUUUAGUUGCCACCUUAAGUAAACCAUUAUUAACAAUCUCACAUCUGUCAUGAAUAUCUCUCAAACCCAAUCCACGUCUACGAGCAUAGCAUGGCAAUAUAAGCAACAUAGAAAGUAACUCCCGAGGGUUUGAUAAAUAAAACAGGUAAUAGGUACUACCUCAACUACUUCCCAAUACCCAUAGUUUAAUUAGAUCCUAGCCAUGCAAUGUUUGAGGAUUGAUCUAAUGCAAUAAAAACUGGGUAUGAUCAAAGUGUUACUUGCCUUGCUGAUGAUCCGCGAAACCUAGAGAUUCGAAGUAACAAGCGGCGCACUCCGGGUACUCUAUCACAAACAAAUAAGCAAACAAUAAGUACUCAUCUAAUGCACAGGUAAAACUCAAAUAAAAGAUCCAACCAGAAAGUUCAACUUAAGAACUCCGGUUUGCAAAAAGAAUCAACUCCAAAGAAGCAACGAAAGUCAAACGGCGAAAAAAACAAGCUUUGUUUACUAUUCUGGAUCUAGGUCAAAUGUUACAGUAGCAAAAACUUGUUCGAGUAGGUUAAACGGAAAGAGAAUUUCGAGAUGAAACUCUAGGCGCUUGAAUCGCCUGAUUCCGAUAAACGAGCGAAAAGUUAAACAAAAACGAAGAUCCGAUCAGAAAUCGAGAUCUGGAAUAAUCGCGGAAAAAUCUGACGAAAAAGAAAACUGAUGAACGGUUAAAGAACGGACGUUCGUUAACAGCGAAAAUCCGACGAACACGUUCGUUAAAACGAACGGGUCGGUGAACGUUCACUAAAAUAAUAAAACCGAAAAAAAUAAACCGAUCUAGGGUUUAGAAAAAAACGAACGGUUUUUUUUUUAGAAAACCGGCAACGGCGUCGGAUCGGUACCUCGUCGGGACGGGGCUCCGGCUGGGUUCGGCAANNNNNNNNNNNNNNNNNNNNNNNNNNNNNNNNNNNNNNNNNNNNNNNNNNNNNNNNNNNNNNNNNNNNNNNNNNNNNNNNNNNNNNNNNNNNNNNNNNNNNNNNNNNNNNNNNNNNNNNNNNNNNNNNNNNNNNNNNNNNNNNNNNNNNNNNNNNNNNNNNNNNNNNNNNNNNNNNNNNNNNNNNNNNNNNNNNNNNNNNNNNNNNNNNNNNNNNNNNNNNNNNNNNNNNNNNNNNNNNNNNNNNNNNNNNNNNNNNNNNNNNNNNNNNNNNNNNNNNNNNNNNNNNNNNNNNNNNNNNNNNNNNNNNNNNNNNNNNNNNNNNNNNNNNNNNNNNNNNNNNNNNNNNNNNNNNNNNNNNNNNNNNNNNNNNNNNNNNNNNNNNNNNNNNNNNNNNNNNNNNNNNNNNNNNNNNNNNNNNNNNNNNNNNNNNNUGAGGGGGGGCUGGUGGCGUGGGGGAGGGGCAAGGCGGCGGCGGCCAUGCUCGGGGUGGACUUGGGUGCGGUGGCGGCGGCGUGCGCGCGAGGGAGACAGCGGGGCUGGGCCGGCCGGCUCGGCUGGGCCUCGGCCCGGUCGGGCGCGAUGUUUUUUUUUAAAUAUAUUCCGCCGAAUCUAAAAAAAUCACAGAAAAAUAAAUAAAAAUCCAAAAAUGAUAAAACAAAUUUUCCCCGUCUAGUUAAAAUAAUUAAGACAAGGUGAACAUUUUUUGACACAAAAAUGCAGUUUUGAAAACGUGCAAUUUUUUUAAUGCAAUUAAAAUUGCAAAUAAAAUCCGAAUAAAAUCCAAUAUAUGAUUUUAAUAUUUUUCCUCCAAUAUUUCAAUUGUUUUGGAGAAGUCAUAUUUUCUCCUCUCAUUUAUUUUAAUAUGAAAUAUUUUUCCGGAGAGAAAAUAAUUAAAACCAAAAUCCUCGUUUUAUUAUCUGAUGAAAAUCAAAUAUGAUAAAUCGGGAAAAUCCCCAACUCUCUCCGAGGGUCCUUGAGUUGCUUAGGAUUUAUUCGAGGAUUUGCCAAAAUGCAAUAAAAUAUGCUAUGCAAUGAUGAUCUAUGUAUAACAUUCCAAAUUGAAAAUUUGGGAUGUUACAGCAUCGCAUGCUCCCUCUACCAUCGAGAUUGGGGUUAAACCUGAAUAAUUAUUAUUUGGUGUUUGCGUUGAGCAUAGACAUGAUUGGAUUAUGUUUAUCGCAAUACGGUUAUUCAUUAAAGGAGAAUAAUGGUUACUCUGUCUAUUUGAAUAAUACCUUCAAUGGUCUUGCACCUAAAAUGAAUGGUUGAUUGAAUCUCGAUCGUAGUGAUACACAUGUUCAUGCCAAAAGAUAUAAGAUAGUAAUGAUAGUACCACAUACUUGUGGCACUGCCACUUGAGUCAUAUUGGUAUAAAACGCAUGAAGAAGCUCCAUGUUGAUGGAUCUUUGGACUCACUCGUUUUUGAAAAGAUUGAGACAUGCGAACCAUGUCUAUUAGUAUAUAUGCAUGAAGAAAGUCCAUACAGAUGGAUCAUUUGGACUCACUUGAUUUUGAAUCACUUGAGACAUGCAAAUCAUACCACAUGGGCAAGAUGACUGAAAGGCCUCGUUUUCAGUAAGAUGGAACAAGAGAGCAACUUGUUGGAAGUAAUACAUUUGAUGUGUGCAGUCCAAUGAGUGCUGAGGCACGCAGUGGAUAUCGUUAUGUUCUUACUUCACAGAUGAUUUGAGUAGAUGCUGAGAAUAUUUACUUGAUGAAACACAAGUCUGAAUAAUUGAAAGGUUCAAGUAAUUUCAGAGUGAAGUUGAAGAUCGUCGUGACAAGAGGAUAAAAUGUCUGUGAUAUGAUCAUAGAGAUGAAUAUCUGAGUUACGAGUUUGGCACACAAUUAAGAAAUUGUGGAAAUUGUUUCACGACUAAUAUCGCCUGGAACACCAUAUUGUGAUGGUGUGUCCGAACAUCAUAACUGCACCCUAUUGGAUAUGGUGCAUACCAUGAUGUCUCUUAUCGAAUUACAACUAUCGUUUAUGGGUUAGGCAUUAGAGACAACCGCAUUCACUUUAAAUAGGGCACCACGCAAUUCCGUUGAGACGACACUGUAUGAACUAUGGUUUAGAGAAACCUAAGCUGUCGUUUCUUAAAAGUUUGGGGCUGCGACGCUUCUGUAAAAAAGUUUCAGGCUGAUAAGCUCGAACCCAAAGCGGAUAAAUGCAUCUUCAUAGAAUACCCAAAACAGUUGGGUAUACCUCCUAUUUCAGAUCUGGAAGCAAAAGUGAUUGUUUCUAGAAACGGAUCCUUUCUCGAGGAAAAGUUUCUCUCGAAAGAAUUGAGUGGGAGGAUGGUGGAGACUUGAUGAGGUCAUUGAACCAUCACUUCAACUAAUGUGUAGCAGGGCACAGGAAGUUGUUCCUGUGGCACCUACACCAAUUGAAGUGGAAGCUUAUGAUAGUGAUCAUGAAACUUCAGAUCAAGUCACUACCAAACCUCAUAGGACGACAAGGAUGCGUACUACUUCAGAGUGGUACGUAAUCCUGUCUUGGAAGUCAUGUUGCUAGACAACAAUGAACCUACGAGCUAUGGGGAAGCGAUGGUGGGCCCGGAUUCCGACGAAUGGCUCGAGGCCAUAAAAUCCGAGAGGAUCCAUGUAUGAAAAUAAAGUAUAGACUUUGAAAGAACUACUUGAUGGUCGUAAGGCUGUUGGGUACAGAUGGAUUUUAAAGGGAAGACAGACAAUGAUGGUAAGUGUCACCAUUAAGAAAGCUCGACUUGUCGUUAAGAUGUUUUCCGGCAAGUUCAAGGAGUUGACUGCGAUGAGACUUUCUCACUCGUAGCGAUGCUAAGAGUCUGUUAGAAUUAUAUUAGCAGUUACUGCAUUAUUUAUGAAAUCUUGCAGAUAGGAUGUCAAAACAUUGUUUCCUCGACGAUUUUCUUGAGGAAAGGUUGUAUGUGAUACAACCAGAAGGUUUUGUCAAUCCUGAAAGAUGCUAACAAGUAUGCAAAGCUCCAACAAUCCUUCUAAGGAUUGGAGUAAGCAUCUCGGAGUUGGAAUGAACGCUUUGAUGAGAUGAUCAAAGAUUUUGGGUUUAUACAAAGUUUAUGAGAAACUUGUAUUUCCAAAGAAGUGAGUGGGAGCACUACAAAUUUUUUGAUGAGUAUAUGUUGUUAACAUAUUGUUGAUAAGAAAUGAUGUAGAAUUUCUGGAAAGCAUCCAGGGUUAUUUGAAAAGUGUUUUUAAUGGAAAACCUGGAUUAAGCUACUUGAACAUUGAGCACCAAGAUCUAUAAGGAUAGAUAAAAAACGCUUAAUAGUACUUUCAAAUGAAUACAUACCGUGACAAGAUUUUGAAGGAGUUCAAAAUAGAUCAGCAAAGAAGGAGUUCUUGGCUUUGUUACAAGGUGUGAGUAUUGAGUAAGACUCAAGACCGGACCACGGCAGAAGAAAGAGAAAGGACGAAGGUCGUCCCCUAUGCUUUAGACGUAGGCUCUACAAUAUGCUAUGCUGUGUACCGCACCUGAAGUGUGCCUUGCCAUGAGUUAGUCAAGGGGUACAAUAGUGAUCCAGGAAGGGAUCACAUGACAGCGGUCGAACUUAUCCUUAGUAUCUAGUGGACUAAGGAAUUUUCUCGAUUAUGGAGGUGGAAAGGGGGUUCGUCGUAAAGGGUUAUGUCGAUGCAAACUUUGACACUAAUACGGAUGACUCUGAGUAGUGAACUUGUCGUGUAAUUAACACGUCAGAUCUCCUAGGUGUAAGGACUUAGUCGUGAGGCCAACGCAUCUUUGUAGUAGCUUGAGAGGGGUUGAUUGGGAUGAGAGAUGCAGGGCGGAUCAACGCACAAGACAAGGGGUUAGACAGCUUCGGGCCCCGGGAAACAUCAUCCGGUAACAACCCUACGUGCUGUUUGAGGCUAAGUCUUAUUAUGAUCACGGGAAAGUCGCCGGCUCCGGCUCUCGGUAUUUAGCCCUAGAGAUUAUUUCUUGUUGCCUCCCUCCUUUGGGGUGCCCUGCCCCUCCUUAUAUAAGUUAGAGGGGCGGGUUACAUGUGGAGUCCUAGUAGGACUAGGACUAAUCUAUCUUCUCUUACAAGUUAAUUACAAGUCCGGGUCUUGCUUCCUCGUAAAGGAAAUAUUCGUCAUCCCUUUCUUCUUAAGACGGCCCAUCAUAAACGUGAGCCGGUCUUCUGGGCCUUGGGUCUAGUCUUCUAUCUGACCCGCCGUCGGGGUCAUCCGUGAGUCGUCAGGCUCGUGAAUCGUCUGACAGUGAGCCGCCAGACCCGUGAGUCGCCAGUUGUCCAGCGGGUCACGGUGAAGCGCCAAAUCCGGCCGGGUCAUACUUCCGGCCGGGUCAUACCGCGGGGUAUAUCCCCGACAUUAGCCCCCAGUUUAAUUUGGAUUUAUCCAUGUUAAACUAAUAAACACAAGAACAAAUUGGAUAGGUUGUGUUCCGGGUUAAAUAUUCUUUGUAAGCCAGCACUUGAUCAUCCUUAAGUCCUUGUCAUCUUCCUUCUUGAUAUGUAUCCAUAAUCUCAUAGCAAAUCUCUUUAGCAGAUAUGUUCAAAUUUUGCCAAUGCAAAAAAUCCAGAUACUUCCUUUGAAAAAUCCGGGUCAACAGGCCAGCUUCAGAGUCAAUUUGCUGACAUUGGUCUCUUGUUGAGAAAUAUUUUAAGAGAUAAUCCACUUGAGUCGGCUUUCAAUGCUCUGACUUGACAAAAAUAUUGGUCUUCAAAUAUUCAACUUAUAUUCAUCCGGCUUAAAGAUAUAAAACUUGCCGGUUUAUGAGUACUAAAAUUGCCGGGUUAUAAAUAGAUGACGCCAAGUCAUAAUUGUCGCCGACGCCGGUUUAUGAUUUUUGCAGACACCAGGUCAAUCUGAUUUACUCAAAACUGAGAAUUUGAAGAUAUUUCUCCCUUAUAUCCAUAUUACCUGUAGCCCCCAAGGGCUGGUUUAAUCAGCAUGAAUAAGCCGGGACUUAUCACCGUGGCUUUAAAUAAAAUCCAGUUGUGUAGCCCCCAUGAGUCGGCUAUAGUCACAGUAGUGUAGCCGGGUCAUCCUAUAAUUGUCUUGAAUUGUUGCCAGGAGCAAUUGGUAGCCCCCAAGGGCCGGCUCAUUACGAUGUGAUGAUUCGGGUCUUCAAUGAAGUGAGCAAAAAAUGACUUUGCAUUAGCCCCCAAGUGCCAUGGUGCAUGCUGGCAGUGACAUGGGACUUGCAUAUUUGAUGUAAUCUCAACUUGAAUAAUGUAGCCCCCAAGUGUCGGGUUGUAAGCCUACAGCGACUCGGGACUAUUCCUAUCAUUGUAGAAUAAAUCAUAUCCAUUGAUAAAAUAAUAGCCAUUGCGCUGAAGCGACUUUGAAAACCUCAAUCAUAAUAUUAGUUUCUGAUAACCAUAAUAAAAAUCCAGCCAUGUUGGCUAUUAAAGAUUUGACUAACCUGGUUUGAAAACCUCAAUCAUUCAAAUCAUAAUGAAAGUCCAGCCAAGUUUGGCUAUUUAAAGAUUUCAAAUACCUUAUCUGUUGACAAGUAAAUCCGGAGUUUAAAUACCCGGCGGCUCUUGGCCGAUGGCGAUUUAUUACGCCUCCAUUGUAAGCCGGAAAUUUUAUAACCCGGCUAUUUAUAGCCUUUUGAGAAAAUCAAGAAUUGAUAACCCUUUUGAGACACCAAUGUCAAUCUUUCGAUGAUAGGCUUGGACUUAAACAUUUAUAUAAGUCAUAGUUCUGCAAAUCCUGCACAGAGUUUAAACAACAUAUGCCCUGGCGACUUAAUGUCAAAAGCCAGGGCGGGUAACUACCCAAAUGUAGUCUUAUCCUGCACACAAGUAGAUCACAAGAAACCUCGGCGGUUUACCGCAGGGCGGGUCAUAAUAUCUUACAUAUGAUCACGGAUGUGUAAAAAAGGAGCCACAUAUAAGCCUGUUAUGAAUCAUAACUUUGAAACAUAACAAUAAUAUCAUACUUGUGAUAUUGAAUUUGCAUUUGUCGGUUUAUAUGACCUCCACAAUAAGGGUGAUAACCUAAUCUUUCAUACGCGCAUAAUUCCAAUGGCGCAAUUCAAAACAUAUCGGCGGCUUAAAGUCCAUAGCCAGGGCUAGUUUAAACAUAAUUAUGUAUAAACAAUAUCAUACCUGUGAUAUUGAACUGUACCGCCGGCUUAUGAUACCUGUGCAGUAAGUGUGAUAACCCAAUCCUUAGAAGCCAAUGCUUCCACAUAGAUGAUGAUUGUCAUAAGCCGGCGACUUAUCAUCGAAAAUCAAGCCGGGUUUAAAUAGAAACCACUCAUAUACACUUUAGAUGUGUUCAAAAGAGCUUCAAAUAAAAUCCCAAAAAUUAUUUGCAAAAAGAAAAUUCAAAAAAUCUUGAGGCUUCUGAUUCGAAUACGAUCAGAAAACCAUCCCAAAGGGGUUAAGCUAAGAUUCGAAUACGAUCAUAUAGCCCCCAGUGGCUUUGGCGUUGCCGAUCAAGAGGGUACCGACAGCUAUGUUCUCUUUGGUUCGAAUACGACCUAUGUUUGAACAGGAAGCCCCCAAAUGACCUUGAGAGUUGUUUAACGACGCUGAUUCGAAUACGAUCCACGUCGGUUCCCAAAGGGGGUUGAGCUAUGGUUCAAAUAUGACCAAGAAACUCCCCAAUGAGCUCGGCAGUGUGCCGAUCAAAAAGGGUAUCGACAGCUAUGUUCUCUUUGGUUCGAAUACGACCUAUGUUUGAACAGGAAGCCCCCUAGUGAUCAUGAGAAUAUUUAACGACUCUGAUUCGAAUACGAUCAGGGUCACACCAAAAGGGUUAAGCUAAAUUCAAAUACGAUCAGCUCCCAAUGGUCAUUAAAGCAGGGUACCUAUAUUUGAGUUGUGCUUUGUAACAUACUCUCUUUGGUCCCUUUAAUUUUUCCUGAGAACUCGAACUUUGCGAGAGAUAACCUCUUUUUGAACUGGAAAUUUGUAAACCGGAUAUUAAGAGCUUCAAAGCUUUAUAAGAUACAAAUUUACCUUGAGCCGGACGUCUGAACCGGAUUUGAGAGCUUCAAAACUUUGCGGGAGAAAGAUAUCUCUUGAACCGGAUUUUAAACCGGAAUCUUUAUUUGAACCGGCAAUUUUCUGAUGGCCUUUAAAGUUUCAUCAAUAUGGUAGCAGCCUCCGGAACCGGGUUAUCAUUCCCUCCAACGACCCGGGGUUCCCGAGUCAUGUCACUGUAGCCCCUGAGUCUCAAGAUGACUCGAGGAGUUGGCUUGAGAUUCUCCAUAUUUAACCGUGAUAUAAACCGGCAUAACUUGUAUAUCAUUGGUGUUGAUAACACGAUGUGUAUCCACAGAAGGUUGAGGUGACUGCGGCGGGUUAUAAAUGAUCAUGUAUGAGCCGUGUCAGCAACUCGGCCAAUGGUUCCUUCCAACUGGUUGUUUGAAGUUUAACCAAACUGUAGUGAUGGCGACUUGUGCGCAUGUCCAUUGAGCCAUCCAGGUGCAGAUGGCGGGUUGAUAGUAUAUGAUAAUUUGCUUCCAUUUUGUUGAAAGAAAACCGGGCUACCCAAGCUGUGACUUGCUCAUACUCAAUAAACAGCUCAUGCAGAUGGGUGCAGCCCGGUGUGUUGAUGUAGACCAGGCCGCGAGAGACGGAUGGAAAAGACAACCGCCGCGUCAGAGGCAGCUCAAACAGAUGAUCCGGCCGUGGCGUUGUAAGCCGGCGCGGAUGAGCGAGUUAACCACAUCGUUUUGACGUAGUGAACAAUUGUCCUGCAUCAACACUACUGCAGACCAAGACAAAGAUAAACUGCUCUUUGAUAAAAAAUAAUAUGUACCAAUAAAAUAUAUUUUAGAUGGAUCACCUGAUGUGCCAGGCCGGAAAUAAUCCGCCAUGAAAUUAAUGAUUGCUAGUGAAGUUGAAGUCGCUCACGGGUGAACCGGCCGCGGCGUGGUAAACCGGUGCAGACGGGUGAGUUGACCGUGGCGUUGUAAGCCGGCACGGACAGCGAGUCGGCCACGGCGUUGUAAGCUGGCGCAGACACGUGAACCGGCCGCGAGGGCGGACGGGCGAGUCGUCCGUGGCGUUGUAAGCCGGUGCAAACGGGCAAAUUGUCCUCCUCGUUGUAAACCGGCGCGGUCGCAAGAAACGGCCACGGCGUGGUAAGCCGGCGCGGUCGCAAGAGACGGCUACGGUGUUGUAAGCCGGUGCGGGGGUCCGUUGAAUAACGAAGACCACCUGUGCCAAAAGAUGUUGGCGUGCCUCCAUCUCCGCAGUAUAAUAUCACUUUUUGUCAUAAAUAAUUGCCCUGUAUAAACAAUAUUGCAGAUCAAGGCAGAGAUAAGCUUGUUCUUUGACAAAACAACAUGUGCUAAUAAAACAAACUUGGAUGGAUAUCACCUGAUUUGUUUGGACGACGGAUGAUCCGUUUAUCGGGACAGAGGUGGCUCAGGUAGACCAGCGGCUCAAUAUAGUUCCGGCGGCUCAGAGCGGCAAGGGCGGCUCAACACAGCUCCGGCGGAUUGAUGUAAAUUAAGCUGCACGGGCGGCGACUUGCGCACACCUAUGCACGUCUACUGUAGCACCAGCACCCACAUGAGUCUUCCUCUGUCCCCCUUUUCUGAAUAACAAUCGGCUUUGAAUGCCUUGAGAUCCAAGUCGUUGUGCUUGACGCAUAGCAAGUGUUCAUUAGUAAUUGGUGCAUGUGGAUAGCAUCGCUACCCCUACUGCUGAAUAAUGGUUUUCUCGUAGUGUAUCAGACUGAUCAUCGGAGUCGCUUAUCCGGGCACAGCAAUGAAAAAUUGACCCAGUAUCCUGUACCCCUUGGCCUGUCCCUUGUUCACAUGCUAAUGCACCAGAGAAGUAGCCCACAGCGCGAGCGUCCAUCAAGAAAACUGUCACAACUUUUCCAUGCCUGCACCUCCGCGCGAGGCGAACCCAGCGGCUCAGAGGCCAUAGGCACGGCGGCUCAGCGCAGGACCACGGUAGAGGUGGAAGUGACGUGUAAGACCCGGCCGGCGGCUCAAUGCAAUGGCGAGGUGAACUCGAAGCGGAGGUGUUGCCGGCGAAACUGGGGAAUGAGCGCGACCCGCCGAUGCGGUGAGGCAGAAGAAAUCAGCGCGUGUGGCGUGGAACCCACAGCGGCGGAGGCAGACGCGACCCGGCACGGCAACUCAUGCAGAAGCAGAGGGGCGUCAGCGUGGGCGACUCGUCCAAUGGCAGCGAAAAACGGAGACGAAAACGACGCAGCAGCAGGCGGCUCGGGCCAGUGGUCGCUCCAAAGUGGCUCUACUCAGUUGCGGGGCAGAGUGAGGAGAAGAGCCACUGUAAUGAACCGGCGACAGUAGACUCGGAAAUGCCCGGUCCGAAGCGAGCCGCAGGGCGAGGCCGUGAAGGCAAGAUCGAUUCCCAUCUUCUGACCUUGCUCAUCCUGGUGUUUUGUCUUUACUUGCAUAUUAACCCCAACAUCUAGUACCGGGACGGAUUGUUUGACCAUAUGAGAGCUUCAGUCUUUCUUGAUACUAGUAUAUAUUUUCUCUAUGAGUUUGCAAAGGCAAUUCCGAUCUGGUCACUUCCCCAUGUAGCAGUUUUGGCCAAUAUAAAAUUUGGAGUUGUGGAUCAACCUGACCAUCACGUGGGAGAGUAUUAAUUGAAGUAUUAUGAUUGCUACUGUUGUCUUGGACGAACAGAGGUGUCUUCCCAUUGUUUUGAGGACACCACAUCUAGUCUGAUUCCUUUGUGCGUGUGCCUCUUGAUUGGUCGACCAGAAGAAAACAAGGAUUCCAAUGAUUCGACCGCUUGGUCUCGGCGACUUGCAGCAGUAAACAAACCACAACCCAAACCCUAAUUUCUCUUGAACUUUGAACGGGACUUGAUCCGACCGUGCGCCUUCGAGACAAUGUAAAUCUUUCUGCAAUGAUUCCUCUUCACCCAGAAAAUUGCGAAUUUCUUGAUCCCUGAUAAAGAUCCCUUCAAGAACUCAACACCACCGUACGCAGGCCCCACGGUGGGCGCCAACUGUCGUGGAAUUAACACGUCAGAUCUCCUAGGUGUAAGGACUUAGUCGUGAGGCCAACGCAUCUUUGUAGUAGCUUGAGAGGGGUUGAUUGGGAUGAGAGAUGCAGGGCGGAUCAACGCACAAGACAAGGGGUUAGACAGCUUCGGGCCCCGGGAAACAUCAUCCGGUAACAACCCUACGUGCUGUUUGAGGCUAAGUCUUAUUAUGAUCACGGGAAAGUCGCCGGCUCCGGCUCUCGGUAUUUAGCCCUAGAGAUUAUUUCUUGUUGCCUCCCUCCUUUGGGGUGCCCUGCCCCUCCUUAUAUAAGUUAGAGGGGCGGGUUACAUGUGGAGUCCUAGUAGGACUAGGACUAAUCUAUCUUCUCUUACAAGUUAAUUACAAGUCCGGGUCUUGCUUCCUCGUAAAGGAAAUAUUCGUCAUCCCUUUCUUCUUAAGCCGGCCCAUCAUAAACGUGAGCCGGCCUUCUGGGCCUUGGGUCUAGUCUUCUAUCUGACCCGCCGUCGGGGUCAUCCGUGAGUCGUCAGGCUCGUGAAUCGUCUGACAGUGAGCCGCCAGACCCGUGAGUCGCCAGUUUUCCAGCGGGUCACGGUGAAGCGCCAAAUCCGGCCGGGUCAUACUUCCGGCCGGGUCAUACCGCGGGGUAUAUCCCCGACAGAACUGGAUUCGUAUAGUAGAGCAUUUAUUUGGAAUAGCUCCAAGUAGCGCGUGGUAGCUGCAUCUACAAGAUGACAUAGAGAUUUGUAAAGCACACACGGAUCUGAAUGUUGCAGACCCGUUGACUAAAACCUCUCACGUAAGCAUAACAUGAUCAAACCCUAGAACUCAUUGAGUGUUAAUCACAUGGUGAUGUGAACUAGAUUAUUGACUCUAGUAAACUCUUGGGUAUUAGUCACAUGGCGAUGUGAACUUUGAGUGUUAAUCACAUGGUGAUGUGAACUAGAUUAUUGACUCUAGUGCAAGUGGGAGACUGUUGGAAAUAUGCCCUAGAGGCAAUAAUAAAAUGGUUAUUAUUGUAUUUCCUUGUUCAUGAUAAUUGUCUGUUGUUCAUGCUAUAAUUGUAUUAACUGGAAACCGUAAUACAUGUGUGAAUACAUAGACCACAACAUGUCCCUAGUAAGACUCUAGUUGACUAGCUCGUUGAUCAAUCGAUGGUUAUGGUUUCCUGACCAUGGACAUUGGAUGUCAUUGAUAACGGGAUCACAUCAUUAGGAGAAUGAUGUGAUGGACAAGACCCAAUCCUAAGCAUAGCACAAGAUCGUGUAGUUCGUUUGCUAGAGCUUUUCUAAUGUCAAGUAUCAUUUCCUUAGACCAUGAGAUUGUGCAACUCCCGGAUACCGUAGGAAUGCUUUGGGUGUACCAAAUGUCACAACAUAACUGGGUGGCUAUAAAGGUGCACUACAGGUAUCUCCGAAAGUGUCUGUUGGGUUGGCACGAAUCGAGACUGGGAUUUGUCACUCCGUAUGACGGAGUGGUAUCUCUGGGCCCACUCGGUAAUGCAUCAUCAUAAUGAGCUCAAUGUGACUAAGGAGUUAGCCACGGGAUCAUGCGUUACGGUACGAGUAAAGUGACUUGCCGGUAACGAGAUUGAACAAGGUAUUGGGAUACCGACGAUCGAAUCUCGGGCAAGUAACGUACCGAUUGACAAAGGGAAUUGUAUACGGGAUUGAUUGAAUCCUCGACAUCGUGGUUCAUCCGAUGAGAUAAUCGUGGAACACGUGGGAGCUAACAUGGGUAUCCAGAUCCCGCUGUUGGUUAUUGACCGGAGAGUCAUCUCGGUCAUGUCUGCAUGUCUCCCGAACCCGUAGGGUCUACACACUUAAGGUUCGGUGACGCUAGAGUUGUAGAUCUCUACUACUAUAGUACACGAUUUUUUGAAUAUUUGAAUCUGCCAUCUUCUCUCAAGUUUUACCGGCCACAUCUAGGAUGGAAUCAUCUGUGGCCGUCAACUUAUUAAAUCGAACGGCCUGUAUCACCCGGAUUCGUCACCCACACAAUCCCGCCAAACCUGAAAACGAGCUGCCCUUCUAGAGAAUUCCACAACCCACGGUAGCCUCCAGGCUCUGGCAAAUCGAUUCCCCGCCAACCUCCUCAUGCUGAUCUUUCCCCCGAUGCUCCGUAUCCAGUAUUCCAAUUUCUCUAGCCCGCGGGUCACACACCUCCAGCUCCAUUGGUCCACCCCCCGUCCACACACCCAGCACGGCAGCACCUCCGAAUCACCUCCACGUCCAGAGUGCAUUUCCAGCCCCGUCUCCUUGCAGUCUCUGGCUUGCUUUGAAAUUUGUUUGCGCCUGGUGAUUCCAGGCUCAGAGGAGUUGGACAUCCAUCUACGGCCAGGUGACCACAGGUGAGGUUGCUGAUUCUUCUGCUCCUUUGGGAAUUUUGCUGCGUGAGAAUGUUCUGCAAGUGAUUCUUCCCGCUUACAAUAAUAUGGAAUACAAAUCCACUGGUCCGAUUGUAGCUUGCUGAUUUUUCUACUUUUCUUGCACGCAAGGUGUUUGUGUUUUUGUCCAAACAGUACACUAUGAAAGGCAAUGCAACAUAUGUUCAUUCUGUUCAUAUCUCAUGGCUAUUUGUAAAUUUGUAUAUGCUUUAAUUAUUUUUCUUGGGUUUGGCAACCUAAAAAUGGUCUAAUGCUUAUACUGUAGGUUGUGGUUGAAAACACUUGGCUUACAAAAUCAAGUAAAAACGACAAGAUGGAAGGCCGGGUUCCCUUCAGAGAUAUUACAAAUGUUCACCCGACAACUUCACCAAAAGGGAACUAUUGUAAGUUUUUAUUAUUAUCUUGAUAUCUAAUUAUUAUCCUUAUCGAUCCUUUGCCUUGACAUACUAUUUGUUUUUUGCUUGUUUUGUUUUGUGGGAAAAUAUUAGCUGUCGUUGGAGAGCAGAAUGAUCCUUUAGUUGAAACCAAAAAUGCUACAUAAAUGAAUUCUUCCCAGCGCAAGCGUUACCGUGACCGGGAUAGAUAUCUGCAAAUGACUCCAUAUCAGAGGGAAGCCUAUUUGCAAAGGAAUCGUGAGUACAAAAGAAUGAGGCGUGAGUGCAGCGCAAGUUGUAGCAAUACACAACCAGCACCCCAGCAGAAAACUACAAGAGCUAAUAAGAACAUAUGCAUGACAGGUACUGUUCUAAUCGACAAAAUAUUCAUUUCUAAUAUUAUCAAUGACCGUUGAAUGUUCAUUUACCUCUAAUAUAUGAUGUAUAAUUUUUGACGGGAUAAGGUUGAACCUACAUUACAGGAAAGGAAGUCGUGGCCAGUUCAAACUAUGAGAAGCAUGAUUCAGUAUUUACUCAACUGGGGUCUUCAUCAAAAGGAAAACAAGGUUGUCAUACGUAAUGAAUUAACAAAUAUCAAAUAUCAAAAUUUAUUUUUUUGUAUAUUUCAUCACACUGUUGUUGACCCUUUUUCCUUAAAACAGUGGCGGAUGUUGGUGGUUCUGGCACAAGUCGUCCAAAAGCUGGAACUCGAUUCACCAUCAGUCCAUCUGGCAUAUAUUAUCAUCAAUAUCCUCGGCUAUAUGGAGGAUUUAUAGGGAUGCAAGGUUUAUAUCACCUCCAGAGGCUAUAUGGAGGAUUUAUUCUUUCAAUCUAAGUGAGAUGUCACCUCCAGUUUUGCAGUUACAGGUCCAGUUCCUUCCACGAAUUCCUCUCUAUCCUUCAGAGGAUGAUGUUCUCCCCUUCAAGUUCAAAAGAAAGCAAUUUCCAAUUCGGCUUAGUUUUGCCAUGACAAUCAACAAAGCCCAGGGUCAAACCAUCCCAAAUGUUGGCAUCUACCUUCCUGAGCCGGUGUUCUCUCAUGGCCAACUCUAUGUCGCUCUGUCUAGAGGGCUAUCAAGACAAACAACUAGAGUACUUGCAAAGCCAAAUAAGGAUAUUGACCCAUCAGGGAAAAGCACAAAAAAUAUUGUCUACAGGGAUGUUUUGGUAUAAUUCAUGUACAUGCUGUGUAUUGCCGUGUGAUGUUUCUAAUAUGGUUGUAUUCCUGUAAAUAGUACUACCCAAGAAAUAUAAUGUUAUAUAGGGUUUCAGUCAUUAGCUUGUCCCUGUGAGAGUUAUUAUGUACCAAAAGAUAUAUUUGCAGUGGUAUUAUUCUAGCAUAUACAAUACUUAAGUCUUAUAGAUGUACCAUUCCUUUUUCAGUUAUUGCAUAUAGCAGAAAUCCAGCAACAUAAGUGUGCAAAUAUCAUUCUUUAUUAUACCGAGCCAUUGGGAUUCACAUGUAUAUGCAAUAUACAUACAUUUUUCAGUUUUAACAUACAACAGAAUCAUUCGGUCAACAGAAGGGAGCACAGACCAUUUUGCUUUACUCAUACGAAAAUCAAUUACAGAGUCAUUACAAACCAACUCAACAAUGGAGGGACAUGCCCCAUCCAUAGAUAGAUUACUAAUUCCAAUCUGAUGUGCCUGGGUAGCAAGAACAUGAACAGAACCAGCGUGUUGCCUACCAAUUUUCAGGAACUUACACAGGUGAUAAACCAGGAACGAAGGUUACGAACACCAGCGUAGAUGUUGUAGCUUCUACAUGCUGGCGCUACAUCAGAGUUAGCAGAAUCAUAUUCGAACUCAAUGGGGUAGUGCAAUGAUCCAGCGUCAAGUGCAUAUCAUACUUCACAGUGCUCACUUCAGAGUUUUCAGCAUCGAAACAAUUCUCACGUUCCUGGUUAUCAGCAAAGAGGAUCUCGCCAUGGUGAUACCUUGAAAUUACACCUGCAGAAGCUACAAAUACAAGAUAUGAAAAUUCACAAUAAUGACAACGAACCUAAAAAUUGUUCUUAAUAUUGGCAACAUCCAAUAUAUUUAGUUACAUUGAAAGGACAUAGAAACAAUUACAAUUUAACUAUAUGAUCUUUUUUUGUAAGCAAGAAAUGGGGG